rfam:Triticum aestivum genome assembly, contig: Triticum_aestivum_CS42_TGACv1_scaffold_513189_6BS
CUGGUAUUCCCUCUAUCCGAAAAUACUUGUCAUCAAAAUAGAUAAAAAGAGGUGUAUCUCAAACUAAACUACGUCUAGAUACAUCUCCUUUUAUUCAUUUUGAUGACAAGUAUUUCCGGACGGAGGAAGUAUUAA